rnacentral:rRNA from 1 species
UGGGGAAUAUUGGACAAUGGGCGAAAGCCUGAUCCAGCCAUGCCGCGUGUGUGAAGAAGGUCUUCGGAUUGUAAAGCACUUUAAGUUGGGAGGAAGGGCAGUAAGUUAAUACCUUGCUGUUUUGACGUUACCAACAGAAUAAGCACCGGCUAACUUCGUGCCAGCAGCCGCGGUAAUACGAAGGGUGCAAGCGUUAAUCGGAAUUACUGGGCGUAAAGCGCGCGUAGGUGGUUUGGUAAGAUGGAUGUGAAAGCCCCGGGCUCAACCUGGGAACUGCAUCCAUAACUGCCUGACUAGAGUACGGUAGAGGGUGGUGGAAUUUCCUGUGUAGCGGUGAAAUGCGUAGAUAUAGGAAGGAACACCAGUGGCGAAGGCGACCACCUGGACUGAUACUGACACUGAGGUGCGAAAGCGUGGGGAGCAAACA